GAAAAAAACUUAAAGACAAUAAUGAGAGAGAAAAAAAGCUGGCUAGUGAUUUCUCCUGUAGUGGAUGCUGUGGUUUUCCACCUAGUCUCUCUCCAUAACCUUCUCAGGGCUGAAGCUCUCAUUUCUCCAGUAUUGUGGGUGUUGGCAGCUGCCUGCUCUUAGCUUUCUCAGGUUUGCCUAAAGCCAAAGACAAUCACCCUUCUGAGGUCAUACUUCCUUCCUGUGUCCCAUGACUGGCCUGUGUAGAACACUGUGAAGGGCCCACCUGAUUCCAGAGCUCCCUACGGAAUGAAGUGAGGCCUUGGCCUUGACUGCCAUUCAGCUUAUCCUUUUACCCCAGGAUUUCUCAAAUUCAGCACUAUUGACAUUUUGACCUGGAUGAUUCUUUGUUGUGGUGGCCACUCUGUAUAUUACAGGGUAUUUAGCAGUGUCCUUGGCCUCUAUCCACUAGAUGCCAGUAUGUCUCCAGAUGUUGCUAAAUAUAUCCUGGGGUUCCAAACCUUCCCAGUUGAGAACCAUGAUGCAAUCCUGCCCUUUUGACAGUACCCCCUGAGGCGCUGAUCCUAAGAGCAUUCCCCAAUAAACUUCCUGCAUACAAAUCACCAGAUCUGUAGCGCACGCAACAAAUUCAGUUCACUCAAUAAACACAUUAGUAAAGUAUACCUGUACUACUGUAUGGACAGGAAGUAGAAUUUAUUGGUGAGUAUUAAGAGGGGGAACCUUUCCCAAGUCCGAGGUGGCUUUGGCAGCAGCAAUUAUGGUUGGAGAAAACCGUGCCUGCAGUGAUGUUCUCACAGACAGUUCAGUAGAAAAAGGCCAGCUGAAGAGAGAUUCUGGAGCAACCAGCACCUGAGCCAGUGGUGUGGAUGCCCUGCCAUGAGGGCCUGCAGCAGCAUGCAGUGAGAACAUUCGGGAUUUCCUUUUGAGAAUGUCAAGUCAUCACGGACAGCGGCUCAUGAGUCAGACCUCACCCCGUGUAUCAUCGUCAGAACACCAUCCAUGGUGGUUUGGACCAUUACGCAGUUUUAAAUUGUUUUUGUUCUUAUUCAUUGUUUAAUUUAUAU
rnacentral:lncRNA from 1 species